CGGAGGGUGCAAGCGUUAUCCGGAUUCACUGGGUUUAAAGGGUGCGUAGGUGGGCUAGUAAGUCCGUGGUGAAAUCUCUGAGCUUAACUCGGAAACUGCCGUGGAUACUAUUAGUCUUGAAUCUCGUGGAGGUAAGCGGAAUAUGUCAUGUAGCGGUGAAAUGCUUAGAUAUGACAUAGAACACCGAUAGCGAAGGCAGCUUGCUACACGAGUAUUGACACUGAGGCACGAAAGCGUGGGGAUCAAACAGGAUUAGAUACCCUGGUAGUCCACGCCCUAAACGAUGGAUACUCGACAUACGCGAUACACAGUGUGUGUCUGAGCGAAAGCAUUAAGUAUCUCACCUGGGAAGUACGACCGCAAGGUUG
rnacentral:rRNA from 1 species